rnacentral:rRNA from 1 species
UACGUAGGUGGCAAGCGUUUGUCCGGAUUUACUGGGCGUAAAGAGCGCGCAGGCGGUCGAAUAAGUCGAAUGUGAAAGCCCCCGGCUUAACUGGGGAGGGUCAUUCGAUACUGCUCGACUUGAAGGCAGGAGAGGGUAGUGGAAUUCCCGGUGAGUGGUGAAAUGCGUAGAUAUCGGGAGGAACACCAGUGGCGAAGGCGACUACCUGGCCUGUUCUUGACGCUGAGGCGCGAAAGCUGGGGGAGCAAACGGG